rnacentral:rRNA from 1 species
GCAUAUCAAUAAGCGGAGGAAAAAGAAACUAACAAGGAUUCCCCUAGUAACUGCGAGUGAAGCGGGAAAAGCUCAAAUUUAAAAUCUGGCGGUCUUUGGCCGUCCGAGUUGUAGUCUGGAGAAGCGUCUUCCGCGUUGGACCGUGUACAAGUCUCUUGGAACAGAGCGUCAUAGAGGGUGAGAAUCCCGUCUUUGACACGGACUACCAAUGCUUUGUGAUGCGCUCUCAAAGAGUCGCGUUGUUUGGGAAUGCAGCGCAAAAUGGGAGGUGAAUUCCUUCUAAAGCUAAAUAUUGGCGAGAGACCGAUAGCGAACAAGUACCGUGAGGGAAAGAUGAAAAGCACUUUGGAAAGAGAGUUAAACAGUACGUGAAAUUGCUAAAAGGGAAACGCUUGAAGUCAGUCGCGUCGUCCGGAACUCAGCUUUGCUUCGGCUUAGUGCACUUUCCGGUUGACGGGCCAGCAUCGAUUUUGACCGCUGGAAAAGGGCUGGAGGAAUGUGGCACCUUCGGGUGUGUUAUAGCCUUCAGUCGCAUACAGCGGUUGGGAUCGAGGAACGCAGCGCGCCUUAUGGCUGGGGUUCGCCCACAUUCGCGCUUAGGAUGCUGGCAUAAUGGCUUUAAACGACCCGUCUUGAAACACGGACCAAGGAGUCUAACAUGCCUGCGAGUGUUUGGGUGGAAAACCCGAGCGCGUAAUGAAAGUGAAAGUUGAGACCUCUGUCGUGGAGGGCAUCGACGCCCGGACCUGACGUUUUCUGAAGGAUCCGCGGUAGAGCAUGUAUGUUGGGACCCGAAAGAUGGUGAACUAUGCCUGAAUAGGGGUGAAGCCAGAGGAAACUCUGGUGGAGGCUCGUAGCGAUUUCUGACGUGCAAAUCGAUCGUCAAAUUUGGGUAUAGGGGGCGAAAGACUAAUCGAACCCAUCUAGUAGCUGGUUCCUGCG